GGGAGGGUGUCAGAGUGGUUGAAUGAGCCGGUCUGGAAUGCCGGUGGAGGCGAUUUCGUCUCCCGUGGGUUCGAAUCCCACCCCUUCCG
rnacentral:tRNA from 1 species